rnacentral:tRNA from 1 species
GGAGUUAGGCUAAAAUCGGGUAAAGCGGGUUAAAGUAGAAAAGCUUAAAAAAAAUUCUUACAAGCAGAGGGUCGGCGGUUCGAGCCCGUCAACUCCCA